UAAAAAUAAAAUUGUACCCAUAAGAAUUCUACUAACAAAAAAUUUAAAUAAAUUAAAGUGACAUUACCCCGCUAACCUUGACUUGGUAGCACUUAUUAAAUUAGUGUAUGUGUGCAGUUUUCGUAUUUUGAAAUUCAUUCAAUAAUUUUCGCUUGAUUCCUUCAUUCGGUUAAAUUUAAUAAUUUUCUUAAUAAAAUGUGGAUCUUAACAAAUAACACAGGUAAUGUCCUUAUUGUAAUUAGCGAAAAAUCCAAAUACACUGUGGGACGAGUCGGAGCAGAUUUGGUUAUAACAGACGACUCUUCAAUAAGUCGCACACACGCUUUCUUGCAUAUUACUACAAAGCAGACUACAGGUGAUACAACAAAAGAAAUACUUGAGCUUGAGGACGCCUGCUCUAAGUACGGUACAUUCCAUAAUGGGAGUAUCGAGAAAGGUGCCAGUUUACCCAAACAUAAACGAAUAGUUUUGGCGGACGGUGAUCGUAUACGUUUCGGUGUUUUAAAAAGCUUAUGGACUGUAUCAAAUAAAACUCCAAUUGUUGCCAUAUCCGCUUUACCUGAUGAAAUGACCAAUCAAUUAAAACAAUUGUUACCCAUACUUGGUGGUUGCAUUCUACCUAAUUUCGAAGAAUCAUACAACCACCUAACAUUGAAAGAGAUAAAUGUGACAUCAAAACUAUUGCAUGCCCUCCUUGAUCAAAAGCCUAUUGUUACUUGCGACUACUGGUGUAAUCUAGUACAGGCUGCUCGGCGUGGACGUCGUUUGUUACCACAAAUUGCCUCUUAUAUGCCACCAAAUCCUCAUAAUUUCGAUAUAGAAUAUCGUGAAGCGAGGAAAACUGUUUUCAAAAAUUUAACAUUUGUGUUUUUACAUGCUCGUCAUUUUAAUACGUACGCAUGCAUAGUAGAAAAAGCUGGAGGAACGAGUAAACAUUUAAAUGUGGGACUACAAAAAUCUUUUCUCAUUAGAAAAGAUGUAGUUGUUGUUCAUUACGUACCCUCCAUGGAAUCGCAAAGCUCACAAACAAUUAGUACUAUCGAAGAUUAUCUUAAACUUCAUUCACGACGUACUGUGCCUGAAUACGAGAUCGCUAUGGCAAUAAUAAGCUGUUCGACAACAAGGCACUGUAACCCAAGCUACAAGGUAGAUGACGAAACAUCCCAAGCCACCAAAUCAAAUGACACUGAUGUGUUGCAAAGUACUAUACAAAGGUUUUCUAGUCAUACUAAUUUGUCUGAUACAUUAGGGGACGAAGAAACAGAAGUCUUUAUACCGGAAACGGACCGUAAAAGCACUGCCAGCACACAUUUGACAGACAAAUCGUCCGUAGGUUUAUCUACACCACGGGUCGACCAAAUCAAUUCCAUACACUCUCAAAUUUUUGAAACAAGGGUAAGUAAUUCAAAUGAGGAGGUGAUGUCUUCACAUCAAAUCACUGAAAGUGAACAAGAAGUUAAUAAGCGCAAACGAACGAGGGGAAAACGACAAAGCCCUUCAACUGUAGUUAAUACUGACAUGGAUAGCGAUGAAGAUGAGCUGUUCAAUUUUGCCACUAAAAAGGCACAUGUCGAAGAAAGGAAAGCAUCACCAAUCGUACGGGCAACUAGACAGCAAAGGAAAUCAAAUUGUUCACCCCUUGAUGAAAAUGCGUCAACAUCUGCUGCUGCUACUUCGAAGCAAACUCCUAAAUCUUGCGGUAAGGAGUUGCCAAUAGCUAUCAACAAAAAGACAACGAGGAAAACUGUGAUAAAUAUGUCUGGCUUCCUAGAAAAGACUCAUGCUCCUAUCCAAAAUAUGCAAAAGCCAAAUGCCGAUGUACAAAAUAUUUCAAUUCAAGAUUCCCUCUUGCAAAAGGGCGUCAAGCGUGCCAGAGUGGCUAUUAUAGACAACAGUGAUGAUGAUGAUUUGUUUUGCUUUGGUGGAAAAAGCCAUACGAAUGAGGAUUCGAGUUCAGCUAAGCGAGCACGUCCUGGAGCUGAUAGUUGCGAUUCGGAUGAAUCGGAUCUUUUCAACUUUGGGUGUGGUGAUGAUGAUGAGCAAAAUGAUCUCAAUGAUGAAAUUGAUGGUGAUUCCUGCAAAGAGCCAAUGAUACAAAAAGAAAAGUUUCACCAAAUAGUUAUGCCAAAGCCAAAACCAUUACCAGCAAAAAUUUGUGUUGCAGAUUGGCUCGACUGUUCAUUAAGUGCUUUGAGCAUUAAAUCAGAACAAGUAAAAGACGCAUUAGAUACUGAGAAAAAAGAAAAUAAUGACUCAGGUGUAGAGGGUGAUGGUAAAGAUGAACCAAUAAAAGGUGGAUGUGUCAUUACGGUACUAAGCACAAAAACAUUAAUGCAGGAAAGAGAUGUGAGAAAAGGAAGCAUGAUGCAGAACAACCAAGGCAAAGAGUAUAACUCAACUACCAAAAACUUUAAAAAAUUUACAAAGCUCGAUCGCUAAUGCUGGUGAUAACAUCGGUCAAUAUUGCUUGCCACCAUGCCUUUUGAUUUUAUAUACCAUUUUUUCGUUCACUUUUGUUGCCGUCUCUGCUGCUGCUGCUGUUGAUAGAGUUUCGGUGGGGCUUUUUGAACAUGGCAAAAGUUUUUACGUUUUAUUUGCUUGUUUGUCGUAAGUGAAAGUUGUUCGAAGCGACUGAAGUAUUAGCUGAAUGUAAGCUGCCAUUGUUCUACAGAGGCAUCAGUCGUUUAAUAUAAACAAAUUAGUUGGCCGUACAUACAAAUGUAUAUGCACAAUGAAGGUAUAUAUUAACGCAGUAUAAGCAAUGGACGGUGUAUGCGUUGUGUCAAGCUCGUACUUAGUUCCGGACAUCAGAAAUAUCAAAACAAUAGAGACUUCACAUAGGGCCGUUUACCCAAUAUAUAUAUGUAUAUGUAUAUAUACUAAUUAAAAGUUAGUGUUUUCUUUCGAAUUAUUACUUUAUUUUAUUUUCCAGAGACACACAAUAGUUUUAUUAAUUCCAUCAAUAUAUAAUGAAAUUAGAUUUAAUUAAUCGUUCUAUAAUAUUAUAGUAAUCAUAAGAUUUACUUAUGGAUGUGUACAUGCAUCUCCAAGAAUGUAGCUGGUUUGAAUAUGACUACAGAUGGUUCGUACUUAAACUAACGCAUAGAAAAAAUUGUUUAAUGCACUACAAAUUUUACACAAGCUUGGGAAAGCAAUCACUCGUGUUCUUUCAGAUUAGCAUCUUUAUACAUUAUAUUUUUGGUAUUGAUACAACUACAAAACGUUAUAAAUAAGUUUGCAAAUACUUUAUUAGUUUUGUAUGUAUAUUCGUAUGAAUGUAAGUUCUAUAAAUUUGUAUUGUUUUUAAAUCGUAGUUAAUUUUUGGUUAAAUGGCUAACAUUUGGUGUACAGCAACUUCUGGUAGAUAAACUUUAAUGCCUAUAUACUAUAAAAACUGUUCCAACAUAUUUUCGUGUUUAAUACAAUUACGUACUUACACACAUGUAUCUAGUUAUUCAUGAAUCAUUUACCAUAUUGGCUUUUCCUUUCAUACCCAAAAUUCAGUUUUAUUUUUUGAUUUUUUGAUAUAAGUAGAAAAGCUCUUUUUUAAUAGAAAUUUUUUUUUAAAUAUUUUUCUUCAUUUAUAACCAAAAACAAAUUUAUUUUUAAAUUGACAUCAAAACUUUUAGUUUCAAAUUAAUGCACAAGGAAACAUUUACAUCAAAACAAAAUUUAUAAAGAAAAUAAAAAAUCCAAACAAUGCAUCUUCUUCUAUUAUUGUUCUUGGUGUAACUUGAAGAAGAUAUGUUGUACACAACACGAUUGGUUAUUGAACUCGCACAAAUAUGGGCCAAAGAAUUAAGAAAUUAAUACAAUUAGUCGUUCACAUUAGAAGUGCAGCGAUGCCAAUGAAGAUGUAUGCUAAAACUUGGAACUAGUUGGUGCUGUCUGCCUGAACUGGUGUUUGUACAAGCACAAGCAAGUCUUAUUCUAGAUUAUUAAUGAAAUUUUUUAUAGACGAUAAUUAUGACAACAUUUAACAUCAAA